rnacentral:siRNA from 1 species
UAUAGAUCCUAAUAUUGUCAC